GUGCCAGCAGCCGCGGUAAUACGUAGGUGGCAAGCGUUGUCCGGAUUUACUGGGCGUAAAGAAUGCGUAGGCGGAUAUUUAAGUGGGAUGUGAAAUACCCGGGCUCAACUUGGGUGCUGCAUUCCAAACUGGAUAUCUAGAGUGCGGGAGAGGAGAGUGGAAUUCCUAGUGUAGCGGUGAAAUGCGUAGAGAUUAGGAAGAACACCAGUGGCGAAGGCGACUCUCUGGACCGUAACUGACGCUGAGGCAUGAAAGCGUGGGGAGCAAACAGGAUUAGAAACCCCCGUAGUCC
rnacentral:rRNA from 1 species